rnacentral:rRNA from 1 species
UACGAAGGGUGCAAACGUUGCUCGGAAUCAUUGGGCGUAAAGCGCACGUAGGCGGCCUUGCAAGUCGGAUGUGAAAUCCCUCGGCUCAACCGAGGACGUGCAUCCGAAACUGCUCGGCUCGAGUAUGGAAGAGGGUCGCGGAAUUCCCGGUGUAGAGGUGAAAUGCGUAGAGAUCGGCAGGAACACCCAGGGGGAAACCAGUCGACUGGGCAGCAACUGACGCUGAGGUGCGAGAGCGUGGGGAGCGAACCGG